GGGUUGUGAGGUUAAGCGACUAAGCGUACACGGUGGAUGCCCUGGCAGUCAGAGGCGAUGAAGGACGUGCUAAUCUGCGAAAAGCGUCGGUAAGGUGAUAUGAACCGUUAUAACCGGCGAUGUCCGAAUGGGGAAACCCAGUGCAAUUCGUUGCACUAUCGUUAACUGAAUACAUAGGUUAACGAGGCGAACCGGGGGAACUGAAACAUCUAAGUACCCCGAGGAAAAGAAAUCAACCGAGAUUCCCCCAGUAGCGGCGAGCGAACGGGGAGCAGCCCAGAGUCUGAAUCAGCUUGUGUGUUAGUGGAACGGUCUGGAAAGUCCGACGGUACAGGGUGAUAGUCCCGUACACCAAAAUGCACAGGUUGUGAACUCGAAGAGUAGGGCGGGACACGUGGUAUCCUGUCUGAAUAUGGGGGGACCAUCCUCCAAGGCUAAAUACUCCUGACUGACCGAUAGUGAACCAGUACCGUGAGGGAAAGGCGAAAAGAACCCCGGCGAGGGGAGUGAAAAAGAACCUGAAACCGUGUACGUACAAGCAGUGGGAGCACCUUCGGGUGUGACUGCGUACCUUUUGUAUAAUGGGUCAGCGACUUAUAUUCUGUAGCAAGGUUAACCGUAUAGGGGAGCCGCAGGGAAACCGAGUCUUAACUGGGCGUUAAGUUGCAGGGUAUAGACCCGAAACCCGGUGAUCUAGCCAUGGGCAGGUUGAAGGUUGGGUAACACUAACUGGAGGACCGAACCGACUAAUGUUGAAAAAUUAGCGGAUGACUUGUGGCUGGGGGUGAAAGGCCAAUCAAACCGGGAGAUAGCUGGUUCUCCCCGAAAGCUAUUUAGGUAGCGCCUCGUGAACUCAUCUUCGGGGGUAGAGCACUGUUUCGGCUAGGGGGUCAUCCCGACUUACCAACCCGAUGCAAACUACGAAUACCGAAGAAUGUUAUCACGGGAGACACACGGCGGGUGCUAACGUCCGUCGUGAAGAGGGAAACAACCCAGACCGCCAGCUAAGGUCCCAAAGUCACAGUUAAGUGGGAAACGAUGUGGGAAGGCACAGACAGCCAGGAUGUUGGCUUAGAAGCAGCCAUCAUUUAAAGAAAGCGUAAUAGCUCACUGGUCGAGUCGGCCUGCGCGGAAGAUGUAACGGGGCUAAACUGUGCACCGAAGCUGCGGCAGCGACACUAUGUGUUGUUGGGUAGGGGAGCGUUCUGUAAGCCUGCGAAGGUGGCCUGUGAGGGUUGCUGGAGGUAUCAGAAGUGCGAAUGCUGACAUAAGUAACGAUAAUGCGGGUGAAAAGCCCGCACGCCGGAAGACCAAGGGUUCCUGUCCAACGUUAAUCGGGGCAGGGUGAGUCGACCCCUAAGGCGAGGCCGAAAGGCGUAGUCGAUGGGAAACAGGUUAAUAUUCCUGUACUUGGUGUUACUGCGAAGGGGGGACGGAGAAGGCUAUGUUAGCCGGGCGACGGUUGUCCCGGUUUAAGCAUGUAGGCGGAGGUUCCAGGUAAAUCCGGUACCUUUUAACGCUGAGGUGUGAUGACGAGGCACUACGGUGCUGAAGUAACAAAUGCCCUGCUUCCAGGAAAAGCCUCUAAGCAUCAGGUAACAUUGAAUCGUACCCCAAACCGACACAGGUGGUCAGGUAGAGAAUACCAAGGCGCUUGAGAGAACUCGGGUGAAGGAACUAGGCAAAAUGGUGCCGUAACUUCGGGAGAAGGCACGCUGAUAUGUAGGUGAAGCCCCUGCGGGUGGAGCUGAAAUCAGUCGAAGAUACCAGCUGGCUGCAACUGUUUAUUAAAAACACAGCACUGUGCAAACACGAAAGUGGACGUAUACGGUGUGACGCCUGCCCGGUGCCGGAAGGUUAAUUGAUGGGGUUAUCCGUAAGGAGAAGCUCUUGAUCGAAGCCCCGGUAAACGGCGGCCGUAACUAUAACGGUCCUAAGGUAGCGAAAUUCCUUGUCGGGUAAGUUCCGACCUGCACGAAUGGCGUAAUGAUGGCCAGGCUGUCUCCACCCGAGACUCAGUGAAAUUGAACUCGCUGUGAAGAUGCAGUGUACCCGCGGCAAGACGGAAAGACCCCGUGAACCUUUACUAUAGCUUGACACUGAACAUUGAGCCUUGAUGUGUAGGAUAGGUGGGAGGCUUUGAAGCGUGGACGCCAGUCUGCGUGGAGCCAACCUUGAAAUACCACCCUUUAAUGUUUGAUGUUCUAACGUUGGCCCCUAAUCGGGGUUGCGGACAGUGUCUGGUGGGUAGUUUGACUGGGGCGGUCUCCUCCCAAAGAGUAACGGAGGAGCACGAAGGUUAGCUAAUCCUGGUCGGACAUCAGGAGGUUAGUGCAAUGGCAUAAGCUAGCUUGACUGCGAGCGUGACGGCGCGAGCAGGUGCGAAAGCAGGUCAUAGUGAUCCGGUGGUUCUGAAUGGAAGGGCCAUCGCUCAACGGAUAAAAGGUACUCCGGGGAUAACAGGCUGAUACCGCCCAAGAGUUCAUAUCGACGGCGGUGUUUGGCACCUCGAUGUCGGCUCAUCACAUCCUGGGGCUGAAGUAGGUCCCAAGGGUAUGGCUGUUCGCCAUUUAAAGUGGUACGCGAGCUGGGUUUAGAACGUCGUGAGACAGUUCGGUCCCUAUCUGCCGUGGGCGCUGGAGAAUUGAGGGGGGCUGCUCCUAGUACGAGAGGACCGGAGUGGACGCAUCACUGGUGUUCGGGUUGUCAUGCCAAUGGCAUUGCCCGGUAGCUAAAUGCGGAAGAGAUAAGUGCUGAAAGCAUCUAAGCACGAAACUUGCCCCGAGAUGAGUUCUCCCUGAGACUUAAAGUCUCCUGAAGGAACGUUAAAGACGAUGACGUUGAUAGGUCGGGUGUGUAAGCGUAGCGAUACGUUGAGCUAACCGAUACUAAUGAACCGUGAGGCUUAACCUUACAACGCCGAAGGUGUUU
rnacentral:rRNA from 1 species